rnacentral:tRNA from 1 species
GGGGAAUUAGCUCAGUUGGUAGAGUAUUUGCAUGGCAUGCAAGAGGUCAGCGGUUCGAACCCGCUAUUCUCCA